ensembl:misc_RNA Metazoa_SRP Metazoan signal recognition particle RNA
GCUGGGCAUGGUGGUGCAUGCCUAUGGUCCCAGCUGCUUGGGAGGCUGAGAUGGGAGGAUCGCUUGAGCCCAGGAGGUGGAGGUUGCAGUGAGCCAUGAUGGCACCACUGCACUCUAGCCUGGGCAACAGAAUGAGACCCUGUCUCUC